rnacentral:misc_RNA from 1 species
UAUAGACUUCCAGAGCUUGAUCUGACACAUGCCAGACCCAUUACUAGAGGUUGUUAAUCACCCAUCAUAAAGCAUCAGUUCAUACAUGGAGUCUGUAUAAAACACCAAACUGAUAUAUACUGUAUGUAUACUGCCAUGCUUUGUAAUAUGUACUGCCAUGUUAUCACAUUAUUCUCCCGACCCCUGCAAUCAAAUUAUCUGUACAGUGUAGAGGUUCCAGUCAAUGCAUGAACAACACUUAUGUUUACCCACAUACAGUCAAUGACGAGCAUCAUUACUUAUAUUCCAUGUGUAUAUGUACUGGGUUAUUUUUUCUAAAGUAUUAUUUUAAAUGCAUUAUAUUUGAGGAAGCCAUUUGCUUCAUUUUUUUUUCACCUAGUCGGCUAUGAGGUUUAAUUCAAUCAAAAGUUUGAAUAUUUUGAAAUAUAUUUAGUGUGCUUAAAAUGUACAAAAAACAUGCAUCACAG